GACGAACGCUGGCGGCGUGCUUAACACAUGCAAGUCGAGCGGUAAGGCCCUUUCGGGGGUACACGAGCGGCGAACGGGUGAGUAACACGUGGGUGACCUGCCCUCAGCUCUGGGAUAAGCCUGGGAAACCGGGUCUAAUACCGGAUAUGACUCCAUGACGCAUGUUGUGGGGUGGAAAGACCUUGUGCGGCUGAGGAUGGGCCCGGCGGCCUAUCAGCUUGUUGGUGGGGUGAUGGCCUACCAAGGCGACGACGGGUAGCCGGCCUGAGAGGGCGACCGGCCACACUGGGACUGAGACACGGCCCAGACUCCUACGGGAGGCAGCAGUGGGGAAUCUUGCGCAAUGGGCGAAAGCCUGACGCAGCGACGCCGCGUGAGGGAUGACGGCC
rnacentral:rRNA from 1 species